rnacentral:rRNA from 1 species
AUGAGCUUGUCAACUACUACCUCAGGGGCAAGAUCCAGGGCCUCCAAAUGCAGCUCGUCAUCCCAGAGAUUGAGCUGUGCAAAGUUGAUCCAUCGGAACUGCCCGGUAUGUAUGUAUCUAUUCUAUGUCUGUAUUUCUAAUCAGAUUUGCUAUUUCCUUCAUGUUGACAUCUUCACUACCGAGGCAUGUGAAUAUGAGACAGGCAAGUCCUUCUUGGCCGGACGAUGUGACCACCAGGAAUGGUACUUUUACAGUCAGAGAUUCCCAAGGUACGGUAAAACAGGGACCCGUAUCAACCGGAGCACUCCGUCAGGAUACUGGAAGUCGACGGGCAAGGACCGCUCCGUCCACGGGGAACACGCGACCAUAGGCUACAAGAAGACGCUCGUCUACCUUCAUGGCCGCGCGCACCACGGCCAGCGCACGGACUGGGCCAUGCACGAGUACCGGCUGGACGACACCCAGGACGCGUACGCGCUGUACCGUCUCUACAAGAAGAAAGGCACGAACCCGUCGCCGGAUGUGCCCAGCGGCGGGUUGGACAAGAGGAAACGCACGACUUCGUCGCCGGACGAGCUCGGCACCGCAGCCGCUGACGAAGAGGACGCCUCGAGGAAGGUCGUGCCUGCAGUCACCGCCGUUGGCGCGGAGGGCGCCCCGAUGCAGUUCGCAGCCAGCGGCGGCGCCGUUGGUGCGGAGGGCGCCACGAUGCACUUCGCAGCCAGCGCCGGCGCCGGCGCCCCGAUGCACUUCGCAGCCAACGGCGGCGCCGUUGGCGCGGAGGGCGCCCCGAUGCACUUCGCACCCAGCGGUGGCGCCGGUGGCGCGUAG